rnacentral:rRNA from 1 species
CCUAACACAUGCAAGUCGAACGAGAAAGUUCCUUCGGGGACGAUUAAAGUGGCGCACGGGUGAGUAACGCGUAGACAAUCUGCCCUUCAGUCUGGGACAACUUUUCGAAAGGAGAGCUAAUACCGGAUGACAAUAUAACACAUAAGUGUCAUAUUUGAAAGCUCCGGCGCUGAAGGAGGGGUCUGCGUCCCAUUAGCUAGUUGGUGAGGUAAAGGCUUACCAAGGCAACGAUGGGUAGCGGGUUUGAGAGGACGAUCCGCCACACUGGAACUGAGACACGGUCCAGACUCCUACGGGAGGCAGCAGUGGGGAAUAUUGCACAAUGGAGGCAACUCUGAUGCAGCAAUGUCGCGUGAGUGAAGAAGGCCCUUGGGUCGUAAAGCUCUUUUAUGGGGGAAGAUGAUGACGGUACCCCAAGAAUAAGCACCGGCUAACUACGUGCCAGCAGCCGCGGUAAUACGUAGGGUGCGAGCGUUGUUCGGAAUUACUGGGCGUAAAGGGCGCGCAGGCGGAAUAGCAAGUCGGAGGUGAAAGCCCGGGGCUCAACCCCGGAGGGUCUUUCGAAACUGCUAAUCUAGAGAGGGUCAGGGGUCAGCAGAAUUCUUGGUGUAGAGGUGAAAUUCGUAGAUAUCAAGAGGAAUACCGGUGGCGAAAGCGGCUGGCUGGGACCACUCUGACGCUGAGGCGCGAAAGCGUGGGGAGCAAACAGGAUUAGAUACCCUGGUAGUCCACGCCGUAAACGAUGAGCACUGGAUGUCCGGAGGGUUCGACCCUUCUGGGUGUCUCAGCUAACGCAUUA